rnacentral:lncRNA from 1 species
CAAUUGAGUGGUAGGUUUCCUUGGAAUCAAUAAAUACAUAAGGAAAAGGGAAGAAUGUUACAUCACUGCGUGUGAGAGUCCUGAUUCCACAAUACCAGAAAAACAGGCCAUUUAAGAGCUUUGAGGUUGCAAGCAGAUCACGUCAGCACUGCUAAUAACGAUGAACAUCGGUCCCCUUUCGGGGAAGCGCCAAAGUGUCUACCAUGGGCAUUUUUAAAGCAAAAGGGCAAAUAAAAUCCUGGCGCGCAAACACGCACUCUGGCGAUCUCUCCCAGACCCAGAGUUAAAGCUGGAGGCUUUCCCCUAGUUCAUUUCCAGCGCCAAUUUGCCCCGGAAAACAUGUUGCGAGACUGACACGACCGUCGUCCAAUGGCACAGCACGCAGAGGCGGGACCUCACGCUCACGUCCAAUCGGCUCGCGCCGCGGAAGGUCAGGGCGGAAGUGGCCGCCAUGGAGCCGCUUGUGCAGUAUACAGAGCGCUUCUCAGAGCUGCUGGCCGUGUCGUGCGGGACGCUGGUGAGCACGUGGGACGCCGCGACCGUGCGCAGGGCACUGCAGUGGGCGCGCUAUUUGUUCCACGUGUACCGACGCUUUGCGAGCCGCGGCCGCGUGCGGGAGGCGCUAGAGAGGCGGCUCCACGUGCGGAGAGGGCCUCUCGGCCUGCGUAGCUUUGCGGCGCUGGAGUCUGGGGACGUGCGGCUCGCCCUACGCCUGCUGCGUAACCGCGCGCUCGCGCCCGCCGCCGCCCGCGCGUUGCCAGGCUUGCUCUUCCCAGGCCCUGCCGCAGACAACGUAGACGACGUGCCGCAGUCCCGCUUGGUCCUCCUGGCACGCCGCGGAAGCGCGCUGCACCUGCUGUUCCGCCUCGGCGGGGACGCGCCUAAGGGCGCGCUGCUGCGCACGCACGCGGAGCUGCUGUACGCGCGCCUUCAGGAGCUGGGCGGUGCGGACUCUACGGCCGCGCGCAAACUCCUGGAUACGCUGUGGGAGCACGGGCCGCGGGAGCACGUGCUCAGCGUGAUGGCGGAAGCUCUGUUGCGCGAGGCGGACCCGGAGCCAGCCCAGGCCGCAGACUCUGCGGGAGCGGAUGAAACACAAAAACUACUGCACUGGCUUCUAGAAAGUACCGAGGUACUGGCCGCUUUUUGCCGCCAUCUGCCAGCUAAGCGCCUGGCCUCUGUGGCGGGCUGCCACCACGCACUGUCUCGUGCCUACCUGGACCUGCUCACAGCGUGGGCCACGCGGCUGCAUUAUGAUCUGCAGAAGGGCGCCUGGGUUCCCACACAGCUGGAGGACAUGCCCUGGGAAGAGCUGUGUCUAAGGCUGCAGAGCUUGUGCCAGGCCCAGCCAUUUCUGCAGGAAGAGGUGCUGGUGACCCUGCGUUCCUGCAAAGCCUUGGAUGGCGAUUUUGAGGUUCCUGGCAUGAGCAUCUGGACAGACCUCCUGCUGGCCCUGCCUGGUGGUGCUUGAGUGUCAUGCUAGAGGAGGUUCUCAGGUCCCAGGCUGGGCAUCUGGACAGACCCUAUCCCAUGGAGGGAACAAGCAUACUUCUCACAAAGCCUCUAUGCACAGCACCCUGCUACUACUUGACAGUUUAGAAACUGACAGUGUUUUCGCCUACUCCCUAUAUAUACAUGUUCCCAAAACCUAAUUGCUUUGGUGCCAAUUUUAAAUGGUUCGUAAUACAAAUAUAUACAUUUAUAUAUACAUGUAUAUGUACACUAUAUAUAUAAAACAUAUAUAUAUUAUAUGUAAUAUAUAUAUAGUUAUUUCCGUCCUUGUGGUGGUUCCAGGACUCUGCCUAUUUUAGACAGAGCUCACCACUGAGCUAUAUUCCCUAGCCUUGUAAGUAUUAUUAAAGCCAUUGAAUUUUCA